UACAAAAGGAUUUCAGCUCAUUUUUAUAUUAUAUAGGAGCAGAACAGGGGAAAGCCCAAACAGAGGAGCAUGAUGUUUUACAUUGAUACCCAACAACAGAACUAGAGCAACACAGGACCAUAAACAAAUGGAAUCAAACAACUGAGACGACCGACUCGUUACAUCUUUCGUGACGCACACAACAAAUACAUAUAAAACGACCAGACACGAACUGAAUCAAACAAAUCAGCAGACAGGCCUAUUGCAUCUGCCAUUAAACAACUUCUGACGAACUAGUUUCGGAAGUUGAGACCAUGGAUCUGCCGUCCGUUGAGCUCUGAAUCAGUCCGUCGUCUGGGGUGAGGAGCAGCCGCACAGCAGCUGCCAGAUGCUCUUCUUCACCUUGUUACGCUUAUUACCGUCUCCCAUCCUUCCUCCAAUGGCUGCCGCCUGCCGGGGGGCAACACAAGCUGAGAAUCUGAGAUGCUCCAAGAAGGUGUGUUCCUGAAAACAGAACGCCGACAUGCUAAAAUCGUAAAAAAACUACUUGUAGCUGUCUUCGAAUUCUACAACUAAACCUGCAAAUGGUACAGGGAAUGCAACUGCAUCUCCAGGAAAAGAAGAUACCUGAGAUUCAGCACUCUCUGAAACUGAACUGAGCAAGGCAGGCUUGGCUCCUUUGGUAGCUUGGUGCAAGCAUGCUUGCUCCUUUUUUAUAGGUGUUAUAAGCGUGUAGCGACUGCUCUUAGGAGUAUCCGCUGACACUCGGUUUCGUAUUGUACGAGAUUUUACCGGGAAAAGUUCGCGAGAAUCCACAUGAACAUUCAGUGAACAAGUAGUCUA
rnacentral:lncRNA from 1 species